UGGGGAAUAUUGCACAAUGGGCGCAAGCCUGAUGCAGCAACGCCGCGUGAGGGACGACGGCCUUCGGGUUGUAAACCUCUUUUAGUAGGGAAGAAGCGAAAGUGACGGUACCUGCAGAAAAAGCACCGGCUAACUACGUGCCAGCAGCCGCGGUAAUACGUAGGGUGCGAGCGUUGUCCGGAAUUAUUGGGCGUAAAGAGCUCGUAGGCGGUCUGUCGCGUCUGCUGUGAAAACCCGAGGCUCAACCUCGGGCCUGCAGUGGGUACGGGCAGACUAGAGUGCGGUAGGGGAGAAUGGAAUUCCUGGUGUAGCGGUGGAAUGCGCAGAUAUCAGGAGGAACACCGAUGGCGAAGGCAGUUCUCUGGGCCGUAACUGACGCUGAGGAGCGAAAGCGUGGGGAGCGAACAGGAUUAGAUACCCUGGUAGUCCACGCCGUAAACGUUGGGCGCUAGAUGUGGGGACCAUUCCACGGUUUCCGUGUCGCAGCUAACGCAUUAAGCGCCCGCCUGGGGAGUACGGCCGCAAGG
rnacentral:rRNA from 1 species